rnacentral:rRNA from 1 species
AACGCGAAGAACCUUACCCAGGCUCGAAAUGCAGAGGGCGAUACUAGAGAUAGUAUUUUCCGUAAGGACUUCUGUAUAGGUGCUGCAUGGCUGUCGUCAGCUCGUGCCGUGAGGUGUUGGGUUAAGUCCCGCAACGAGCGCAACCCUUACUCGUAGUUGCUACCCGCAAGGGAGAACUCUACGAGGACUGCUCCGGAUAACGGAGAGGAAGGUGGGGAUGACGUCAAGUCAGCACGGCCUUUAUGUCCAGGGCUACACACGUGUUACAAUGCACGGUACAGACUGUUGCGAACCCGCGAGGGGGAGCUAAUCGGAUAAAACCGUGCUCAGUUCGGAUUGCAGUCUGCAACUCGGCUGCAUGAAGCUGGAAUCGCUAGUAAUGGCGUAUCAGAUCGACGCCGUGAAUACGUUCCCGGGCCUUGUACACACCGCAUAC